UACGUAGGUGGCGAGCGUUGUCCGGAUUUACUGGGCGUAAAGGGUGCGUAGGCGGAUGUUUAAGUGAGAUGUGAAAUACCCGGGCUUAACUUGGGUGCUGCAUUUCAAACUGGAUAUCUAGAGUGCAGGAGAGGAGAAUGGAAUUCCUAGUGUAGCGGUGAAAUGCGUAGAGAUUAGGAAGAACACCAGUGGCGAAGGCGAUUCUCUGGACUGUAACUGACGCUGAGGCACGAAAGCGUGGGUAGCAAA
rnacentral:rRNA from 1 species